rnacentral:rRNA from 1 species
AACUAACGCUGGCGGCGUGCCUAACACAUGCAAGUCGUACGAGAAAGCCGGCUUCGGCUGGUGAGUAAAGUGGCGCACGGGUGAGUAACGCGUGGAUAAUCUGCCCUUAAGUGUGGAAUAACGUACCGAAAGGUGCGCUAAUACCGCAUAAUGCCUGGCAACACAAGUUGUCCGGCCAAAGAAGGCCUCUGCUUGCAAGCUUUCGCUAAAGGAUGAGUCCGCGUACCAUUAGCUAGUUGGUGGGGUAACGGCCUACCAAGGCGACGAUGGUUAGCUGGUCUGAGAGGAUGAUCAGCCACACUGGAACUGAGACACGGUCCAGACUCCUACGGGAGGCAGCAGUGAGGAAUAUUGCGCAAUGGGGCAACCCUGACGCAGCAACGCCGCGUGAGUGAGGAAGGUUUUCGGACUGUAAAGCUCUGUCGAGCGGGAAGAAGUGUACCAUGGCUAAUAUCCAUGAUAUUUGACGGUACCGCUAGAGGAAGCACC